CGCGCCACCAUCUGGAGAGUGAAGACCCCAGCAAGGCCCUGCCUGCCCUAGGGCCCUUGACAUGCACACACAUGUAUUCCAUUUCAUAUGCUCACUGACAUAAGGCUGUAGACAUCAAACACAGUCUCACAGGAGUACACACACACUUACAGGGAAAAACACAGGACUCUCUCCCUGUCUACAGGUAAUCAUAACACCAGGUGCCCAGCGCCUUGGCAGAGAAGGAGGGCACCAGAGUAGCGGGUGCAGGGAACAGAGGGAUGCUGUGCUUUUGGCUUAGUGGAGAGUGUGUGGAGGGGCCUGGAGCCAGGUGAGCCCAGAUUGAGGAGGAGGGGGCCGUGGGGGGUGCUUUGAAUGCCAUUGAAGGUACUGGGGAGCCACAGAAGGUUUCUGGGAGAAUAAGAAGAUGGGAAUUGAGGGCCCUGUGGAAGAGUCUGGUGGGGAGGCAGGAAACAGGGAGUGGCCUGUUUAACACUGGGCGCUGGUGGUUCCAUUCCGAAUCCCAGGUUCCCAGCAUAGGUGAGUGAGCACAAGGCUCAGGAAACAGUUCUUGAAUGAAUGAAUGGCCCAGGCAAGGUGAGGCCUGAACUCAGACCAGGACAGGGGGAUGGAAGAGAGGAGUGGGUUGCCAGAGGCCACUGUGCUUGGCUGCUGUGGUAGCUGAUCGGUUGGAGAAGUCUAAGAUGCUUGGGGGUCUGGGGACCAUAGUAGUACCAUUAGCAGGAAGCAGCGAAAGCAAUGGGAGCAGCACUUUUGUAGGAUGGUGAAAGACAGAUGUGGAGAGGUUGGCAUGGCAAUGACUUCACUGCUUGGAGCCGGUUUGCAUCUGAGUAAAAGCAUAAGUGAGUUUAAAUGUCCCAGAAUUGGUGUCCAUUAAAUCAUCCCAUAAUUGAGAACAGAAAAGGAGAUUGCAGAAGACACAGAUGGCCAAGUCUAUACCAGUUCACAAGCCACCCAGGAGUUUCCCUCUCCAGUGUCAGUGGAAGCUGAUGGAGAAUCGAGGUCUGGACCCAGGGACUCGGGACUCCUAUGGUGCCACCAGCCACCUCCCCAACAAGGGGGCCCUGGCAAAAGCCAAGAACAACUUCAAAGACCUGAUGUCCAAGCUGACAGAGGGCCAGUAUGUGCUGUGCCGGUGGACAGAUGGACUGUAUUAUCUCGGGAAGAUCAAGAGGGUCAGCAGUUCUAAGCAGAGCUGCCUUGUAACUUUUGAAGAUAACUCCAAAUACUGGGUCUUGUGGAAGGACAUACAGCAUGCUGGUGUUCCAGGAGAGGAACCCAAGUGCAACAUCUGCCUGGGGAAGACAUCAGGACCACUGAAUGAGAUCCUCAUCUGUGGGAAGUGUGGCCUGGGUUACCACCAGCAGUGCCACAUCCCCAUAGCGGGCAGUGCCGACCGGCCCCUGCUCACACCUUGGUUCUGCCGACGCUGCAUCUUUGCGCUGGCUGUGCGGAAAGGCGGCGCGCUGAAGAAGGGCGCCAUCGCCAGGACCCUGCAGGCUGUGAAGAUGGUGCUGUCCUACCAGCCCGAGGAGCUGGAGUGGGACUCGCCCCACCGCACCAACCAGCAGCAAUGCUACUGCUACUGCGGCGGGCCGGGAGAAUGGUACCUGCGGAUGCUGCAGUGUUACCGGUGCAGGCAGUGGUUCCACGAGGCCUGCACCCAGUGUCUCAAUGAGCCCAUGAUGUUCGGAGACCGGUUCUACCUGUUUUUCUGCUCCGUGUGCAACCAGGGCCCAGAGUACAUCGAGAGGUUGCCCCUGCGAUGGGUCGAUGUGGUUCACCUGGCCCUCUACAACCUGGGGGUGCAGAGCAAGAAGAAGUACUUUGACUUUGAGGAGAUUCUGGCCUUUGUCAACCACCACUGGGAGCUCCUGCAGCUUGGCAAGCUCACCAGCACCCCCGUGACGGACCGAGGACCGCAUCUCCUCAACGCUCUGAACAGUUAUAAAAGCCGGUUCCUCUGUGGCAAGGAGAUCAAGAAGAAGAAGUGCAUCUUCCGCCUGCGCAUCCGCGUCCCGCCCAACCCCCCCGGGAAGCUGCUGCCCGACAAGGGCCUGGUGCCCACUGAGAACGGCGCCUCUGAGCUGCGUAAGAGAGGAAAGAGCAAGCCUGGUUUGUUGCCUCAUGAUUUCCAGCAGCAGAAAAGGCGAGUUUAUAGAAGAAAAAGAUCAAAGUUUUUGCUGGAAGAUGCUAUCCCCAGUAGUGACUUUACCUCGGCCUGGAGCACCAACCACCACCUAGCCAGCAUAUUUGACUUCACGCUGGAUGAGAUACAGAGUUUAAAAAGCGCCAGCUCAGGCCAGACCUUCUUCUCCGACGUGGACUCCACUGAUGCUGCCAGCACCUCUGGCUCCGCUUCCACCAGCCUUUCCUACGACUCCAGACGGACAGUGGGCAGCCGCAAGAGGAAGCUGGCAGCCAAAGCGUACAUGCCACUGCGGGCAAAGCGGCGGGCGGCCGAGCUGGGUGGACGCUGCCCCUCCGACAGCAGCGCAGAGGGGGCCUCAGGCCCUGAGCGGCCCGACGAGGGCAUCGACAGCCACACGUUCGAGAGCAUCAGUGAAGAUGACUCGUCCUUGUCCCACCUCAAGUCAUCCAUCACCAACUAUUUUGGCGCAGCCGGGCGGUUAGCCUGUGGGGAGAAGUACCAGUGAAAUAUCAGCUGUUGGGUACCAGGAGGAAUUAGCUCUGGUUUCCUGGAAGGUGAAGAGGAAUGGUGAGACCCCAUCCUCUCUCUGGCCACUGUGCCACUCCUACCACCACCACAUUCUCUCAGCAAUAUUCUCACCUUUGCCACCAGAAGGAUGUGGAACCUUUUUUCUGGAUCUUCCCCGUGGAGAAGACACCUGUGGAACAGGUUUAGGAGAGCACCAGACAGAGUGAGCAGCCUUGGCUAUCCCAUCUGUAACUCAGCAUUGCCACCCACUUUCUGGACCUCAUUGCAGUUCAGUUUCCUUUCCUAUAAAAUGGAGACUGGCUUAGGCCACUGGUUUACAAACUUUUAACAACAGAAACUUAGCUCAAUACAUAAAAAUAAUAAAAGCACAGUUGCACUGGUUGAAGUAUGAGUAGCCCCCAGGAUACCUUCUGUGAACCCCUGGGGUUCUGUGGAGCAAGUCUGAAAAACACUUGUCUAGCAGUCCCCCUGGGUUCUUCCUCCUUCAGGAUGCUCAGUUUCAAUGCUCAAGUGGAGAGGUUAGUAUGGUGGGCUCAGAACCCAUGUCUCCACUGAUCAGGGCACCAGAACCUUCUGAUGUCUGCCCCUUCAGGCUAGGAAAGAGUCAAGACCUACUCCUAAUCCGUGAGGCUAUGUCUAAGCCCUAAUACUCCCUAGUGCUACGUGCACUCAGGAAGCCCACUUCCAGUCCCACUUCCUCAGGACUCAGGAAUAACAAACACCAUCUUUAGCUAGAAGAAAUAAAAUCCUGCUUGUCCCUGAAAUUCCACCAUUAGCAAUUCAUGCUUUUGGAUAGAGCACUUCCAGUUCCCCUAGAAGGUGGCAUUCGCCCCACACACUUCUGGGUAACAGGUCAACAGGUCCAUUCCUCAUGAGAGGCAGGAGAGUAAUAACAUACUAGGCACUCAAUAUAGGCUCAGUGAACGUAGAUGACAAACCUCACCCUCACUGCUGCCUCCCCUUGGUCCCCAUACACAAUCACCCUCGCCCUCCCACCCCCAGCCACCUUUACGCAUGAUGCACUCAGAGACAAGAUCCACGGGGUUCUUGCUUGGCCUGACUGGCCCAGCGUCCUCUUCCAGCCUCAGAAGCCUUGGGCCUUCACCCUCCACAAGUUACUUAACUCCUCUGUGCUGACAAAAGCAUGGAAUCCAGAGAUGCGAGGGGGCAGGGAGAAGCCUCCCCUCCCCCAGAGAACAGCUGAUGAAGGUUAGAGUCAGCCAGCAGGAGGCACAAGAAGCCCCCACUCAUUCCUCCUCCAUGCCCUCCUCCAGCCACUUUAAAUAGUGCACAUCUCCUUGGUCCAUGGGAAGACUGAAGACCUCUGGGAUUUCAAAAGGAUGCACCAACCUUUGGAAAGAAAGCAGAGCUCUGUGAGUGACCAGGAUUAGUCAGCCUAUGCAAUAAAACCCAACUGGGCAGCCUCACUUGAGGCCCUCUGCAAUAUGCCUGCAGCCCACUGCUCCAGCCCCACAGCCCACCACUCCUACGCCUGUUACCCAUCUGUCACCAAGUGAUGAGUUAGGCCAGACGGCUUUAGAGUCUCACAGACAUGGGUUCAAAUUCUAAGCCUGCCACUUACUAGCUAUGUAAGCACGGACAAAUCACUUAAUUUCCCUAAAGGCCCUGCAAAAGAGGGGAUAAAAAUAGUACCUAUGUGACUGGAUUGCUGAGGAUUACAUGAGACAAGGUAUAUAAGGCACAUACCUGGUACGCUGGCGCUGUAUGCAUUCAGUAAAUGUUAGCUACUGUUUUUAUUACUAUCCUUCACUCAUCACUGGGCCUUCUGCAAACAACUCCCCCUUCCCCUGUACCUCUGUAUUCUCUUCUCCACCUAGAAAGUUCUCCCUGUUCCUGCUGAUAAAUCAAAAGCCUCUCUGUUCCUCAAGGCUCAACUCAACCACUGACCUUUCCCCAGGGAUCUUCCUUGACCAUCCAAACCCACAGCAAUCUCUCCCUUUUCCCCAUUUCUUUCACCUAGUCCUCACCUAGUCCUGGCACAAAAUGCCAGUUCUCUUCACUUUCCAAAUGGAAAAAACAUGAGGCCUUGGGCCCUGGUCCCAUCUGUCACACAGGAGUAAUGAUCCUCUGCUGCUUUUUUGCUGAAUUAGGCACUGUAAAGUUCUCAUGAGAUAGAAUGUUUACUAAAUCACAACAUGUGUAUGUAUAGGUGCUUAAACAUUAGCAGUAAGCUGGGUAAUUUUAUCUAAUGCCUGAGAAAAAUGAAUUUUCUUAUUUCACGGAUACCUAGACCAGUGUAUGUGUUUUUAUAAGCAGACACACAGAAUUCAGUGUAUGUAGGUCUGAAUAGCAUUCAGCAUAAGACUUUUUUUUUUUUUUUUUUUUGCGGUACGCAGGCCUCUCACUGUUGUGGCCUCUCCCAUUGCGGAGCACAGGCUCCAGACGCGCAGGCUCAGCGGCCAUGGCUCACAGGCGCAGCCACUCCGCGGCACAUGGGAUCCUCCCGGGGCACAAACCCGUAUCCCCUGCAUCGGCAGGCGGACUCUCAACCACUGUGCCACCAGGGAAGCCCCCAGUAUAAGGCAUUUUAAUAACACUUUAGUAGUAAGAGCUGUCACUGAUACAGCAAUUCAUGCGUAUACUUGACAUAAGUUCUUUCCAAUAUGCAUAACAACCCAAGGUACUAGUAUAGUCCCCAUUUUAUAGAUGGGGCAACUGAGGCACAGAAAGUAAUUUGCAUGCACUUAUGCUACAACCAGCAAGUGGAAGAGGCAGGAUUUGACGCUGGAGGUCAAGCUCUGGGGUUCACUGUCUUAACCCUGAAGCUGUCUUUCACCAGUCAGGCUGUAAUUUCUCAACAGCACUGGUUCUACCAAAGAUACCCUAUUUCCACACCUGCGCUAAGGCAGUAACAUGAGGGCCUUCUCUACCAAUAGAUCUGAGACCCAGUAUAGCCAUAUAACCAUAGAAUCCUGCCUGGUUCCCUAAGAUGUGAAAGGAAAGGGUUUUAUCAUCCAGACAGGUGACUUGCAUCCUGGCUGCAAGGAGAGUCAACCUGGGUGCUUUGAAGAACACCAUAUUUGAUUCCCAUUCCAGAUGAAUUAGGUCAGAAUCUGAGGUGGAGCCCAAAUUGGUAAUUUGAGAAAGUCUCCAUGUGAUUAUAAUAUGUAGCCAACAUCAAAAAUCACUGGUUUAGACCAGAGAAUCUCAAGCUUUUACUGUGCAUAGGAAUCACCUGGGGAUCUUGUUGAACUGUAGUUUGAUUCAGUAGGUUUGGGGUGAGUGUGAGAUUCUGCAUUUAUGGCAAGCUUCCAGGUGAUGCCAAUUAUUACAAAACUACACUCUGAAUGAUAAAUAAGGAUUUACACCAGUGGUUCUCAAGUGGAGUCCACUGACCCCUGGGGAACUCCAAGCCUCUUUCAGGAGGUCCAUGAGGCCAAAACUAUUUUCAUAAUAAUACUAACUGUUAUUUAUCUUUUCAUUUAUGUUGACAUUUGCACUGAUGGUACAAAAGCAAUGAUGGGUAAAACUGGUGGCACCUUAGCAUGCAUCAAGACAACAGCACCAAACUGUACUAGCUCUCACUGUAUUCUUCACCACCACAAUACUUGCAUUUUAAAAAAGUCAAAUUCACUUAAGAACAUUCUUGAUAAUGUGGUAAAAAUUACUAUUUUUAUUAAAGUUUGACCCUUGAGUGUGCCUUUUUAAUAUUCUGUGUGACAGAAUGGGAAGCAUACAUAAAGCACUUCUGCUAUAUACCUAAGUUCAAUGUUGUCUUAAACUUGUCUGACUGAGACACAAGCUAAACUAGACUUUUCCCAAAGAAUACCAUUUUUACUUUCAAGCCUGAGUAACCAUCAUUUGUCAGUUUUACAAAUUAAGGUUACUCAGGUUUGAGUAUUAGGUAGACAUUUUCUCAAAUAUGAACAAAGUGGGCCCAUCACUCAAACGAAGACAAUUUAUAUCAUUUAAUGCCAAUUUAAAAAUUCAUGUUUUGGGGGUUGGGGAGGGAAGGACUGGGAGUCUGGGAUUAGCAGAUGCAAACUAUUAUAUACAGGAUGGGUAAACAAGGUCCUACUGAAUAGCACAGGGAACUAUAUUCCCUAUCCUUUGAUAAACCAUAAUGGAAAAGAAUAUGAAAAAGAAUAUAUAUAUAUAUAUAAAUGAGUCACUUUGCUAUACAGCAGAAAUUAAACACAAUAUUGUAAAUUAAAAAAAAAAUCAUGUUUUUAAGCAAAAAUCAGAAGUUUGGAAAACCUGAAUUUAUCAUCAUGAGCUUAAAAGUGCCCCAACACUUAAAGAUGCUUUUGACAAGCUCCAGCUCUCUUAUUAAGCCAGAUUUUGCAAAAAUGGAAAAUGAUGCCAUUCUUCUCACUUUUUUGUUUUUUGGAAAAUAUGGUUACUUUCCAUAAAAUACAUUACUAGCAUACCUUGUUUUAUUGCACUACGCUUUAUUACAGAUACUGUGUUUUUUUAGAAAUUGAAGGUUUGUGGCGACCGUGCAUCAAGCAAGUCUAUUGAUGCUACAUUUGCUCACUUUGUGUCUCUGUCUCACAUUUUGCUAAUUCUUGCAAAAUUUCAAACUUUUUCAUGAUUAUUAUAUUUGUUAUGGUGAUGUCAUCAGUGAUCUUUGAUGUUACUAUAAUUGUUUUUUGGUUUGUAUUUUUAAAUUAAGGUAUGUACAUUGUUUUUUUAAGGCAUAACGCUAUUAAUACGCUGCAGUAUAGGUUAAACAUAACUUUUAUAUACACUGGGAAACCAAAAAAAAAAAAUCAUAUGAUUCACUUUAUUGCGGUGGUCUGGAACCAAAGCUGUCUGAGGUAUGCCUGUAUUUAUGUUAAUAUGUAAUUGUUCUAUUACUGUUAAUUUAAAUGAACUAAAAAUACAUAUUUUAAAAAUU